rnacentral:rRNA from 1 species
UAGUCCACGCCGUAAACGAUGGUUACUAGCUGUUCGAACUUCGGUCUGAGUGGUUAAGCGAAAGUGAUAAGUAACCCACCUGGGGAGUACGUUCGCAAGAAUGAAACUCAAAGGAAUUGACGGGGGCCCGCACAAGCGGUGGAGCAUGUGGUUUAAUUCGAUGAUACGCGAGGAACCUUACCAGGGCUUAAAUGUAGUAUGACAGGUUUAGAGAUAGACUUUUCUUCGGACAUAUUACAAGGUGCUGCAUGGUUGUCGUCAGCUCGUGCCGUGAGGUGUCAGGUUAAGUCCUAUAACGAGCGCAACCCCUGUUGUUAGUUGCCAUCGAGUGAUGUCGGGAACUCUAACAAGACUGCCAGUGCAAACUGCGAGGAAGGUGGGGAUGACGUCAAAUCAUCACGGCCCUUACGUCCUGGGCCACACACGUGCUACAAUGGUAGGGACAGAGAGCAGCCACAUUGCGAAAUGGAANCGAAUCUAUAAACCCUAUCUCAGUUCGGAUCGG